GACGGAGGAUGCAAGUGUUAUCCGGAAUCACUGGGCGUAAAGGGUGCGUAGGCGGGUCUUUAAGUCAGGGGUGAAAUCCUGGAGCUCAACUCCAGAACUGCCUUUGAUACUGAAGAUCUUGAGUUCGGGAGAGGUGAGUGGAACUGCGAGUGUAGAGGUGAAAUUCGUAGAUAUUCGCAAGAACACCAGUGGCGAAGGCGGCUCACUGGCCCGAUACUGACGCUGAGGCACGAAAGCGUGGGGAGCAAACAGG
rnacentral:rRNA from 1 species